rnacentral:rRNA from 1 species
GUAGGCUGCAACUCGCCUACACGAAGCUGGAAUCGCUAGUAAUCGCGGAUCAGCACGCCGCGGUGAAUACGUUCCCGGGCCUUGUACACACCGCCCGUCACACCAUGAGAGUCUGUAACACCCAAAGCCGGUGGGAUAACCUUUAUAGGAGUCAGCCGUCUAAGGUAGGACAGAUGAUUAGGGUGAAGUCGUAACAAGGUAAC